rnacentral:rRNA from 1 species
CCUACGGGUGGCUGCAGUGGGGAAUAUUGGACAAUGGGCGAAAGCCUGAUCCAGCCAUGCCGCGUGUGUGAAGAAGGCCUUCGGGUUGUAAAGCACUUUCAGUGGGGAAGAAAGCCUUGGGGCUAAUACCCUCGAGGAAGGACAUCACCCACAGAAGAAGCACCGGCUAACUCCGUGCCAGCAGCCGCGGUAAUACGGAGGGUGCGAGCGUUAAUCGGAAUUACUGGGCGUAAAGCGCGCGUAGGCGGUCUGAUAAGCCGGUUGUGAAAGCCCCGGGCUCAACCUGGGAACGGCAUCCGGAACUGUCAGGCUAGAGUGCAGGAGAGGAGGGUAGAAUUCCCGGUGUAGCGGUGAAAUGCGUAGAGAUCGGGAGGAAUACCAGUGGCGAAGGCGGCCUUCUGGACUGACACUGACGCUGAGGUGCGAAAGCGUGGGUAGCAAACAGGAUUAGAUACCCCUGUAGUC